UAUGGUGCCCGCACAGUCCUGUGAGUGCUGCAUUGCAUCAGAUUUCAAUAGCUAAGCAGCAUUGGGCCUAGUUAGUACUUGGAUGGGAGACAUGGGAGACAUGGAAGACCAGAA
rnacentral:rRNA from 12 species